ACUUGCAUGAACCGUUGCCAUAAAGCUACCUAUGGCAACGCUUAAUUGAGAGAAAAAAGCUAUUGCAACAACUUUAAUUUUUUUCCCUCCCAAUUGUUCACAAAUAAUGAACUAUAUAACAAAAAUUUUAAAAAUGAAAGAGUUAACACUUCGGGCCUGAAAGCAAAAGGGUUAAGCAGCUAUUGUAAAUCUUCAAAUCAAAAAGAUUGGGUCUCCAGUCGAUCUAUGGACUGCUGCUCCGAAUCGAGUGAUCUUCAAAUCAGUGCUCCAGUGCUCCUAUACGCAUCUCCAAAUUUACAAAAAAAUUGGGUCUCCAAUCGGUCGACUGCUCCGGUCGACUACUGUUCUGACUACUAGUGCUCCGACUGCUUUCGAUUGAACCCUAGCCAUCUAUUGAAAAAGGUAUUUCAGUGCCCUAAUUUCUAACUUCUAACAGUAUUUUUGUGCUUGUUGUAAAGUGUCGUAGGAUUUCAGUGCCCUAAUUUCUUGCAAAGUGCCAAUUUUUUGUGCUUAUUCUCUUAAAGAUACGGGUUUUUAAAAGUAUUUGCUAUUACUUGAUAACACAUGAACUCUGGGGCCAUGGUAUCUUUUUCUUUGAGAUGUUGGGUGGAAUUCUACAGUUUUUUUGUACUUUUGUAGUAUGGGUUGUGUGAAUUUGCUAAACGUGAUUGAUUUUGGACUAUUUGUUUGGUUCUGGCCUGUUGUAUUUGAAUUUGUUGUGCUUAAGUGAACUGAAGGGGAGCCUUGUUAUAGCUGGUAAAGUUAUUGCUAGGAUUGCAUUUAUCGAAUUCAGGGAAAUCGAGUUUAGCACUAGUGCCAUUGAAGGUUUGAUUACAGUAUCAAAAGGGAUGUUGGGUACAAGCGCUGGUAUGGUAAGUGAGCUCGUGAAGAAAAAUUAGUUUGUGGAAAGGUGUAGCAGGUGUUUGUUUCUGCUCCCGAUCGCAGAAUUGUUGUAAGUUCGUUUCACUUUUGCUUUCUCAAUUUUCAACAAUAUCAUCUGCAUUAGUAUUUUUUUAGCUAGCGACGUCGAUAGAUUUUGAAAAUUUAUUUUUAAAUAUAUAUGUUGGGUCUUACAACUUUCAAGUACCAAAGAAUGGGCUUAGACUAGUUUUUGGGAUUUUAAACUUUCAAUUCAAUCAAGAUUAUGAUGUCAAAGCACCCUUGUUUUUCUAAUUUUCCGGCUACUGCAAGAAUCAUAAAUUCAGAUUAUCAAGUUCAGCUUCAUUCUUCAAAAUCUAUGGCCAAACGAGAGCUUAAUGUUUUAACACAUACUAAGAUCUUUUUACAGUUCAUAAUUUUAGCAAUUGCUUGAGCUAUAAUUUCUUAGGUAGGUGUGUUACUGCUAGAGACAUUAAUUUAGAAUCAAUGUGUUGACAACACGGUUCUAACAAGUAAACUUCUGUUUGGAGGAAAGAGGAUUUUAGUUUUGCUUAUUUUACCAACUGUUUGGUAUUUAAUGAAGAAUAUACAUACCAGUUAAAAAGAUGAAACUGAGCGAAUGCACAUAAUUUAGAAAAACAUAUCUAAUCACCAUUCACCACUCUUGAAAAAAUCUCCAACUAUAAUACUUGCUACAUUAGGAAAGCAAGGAAAAGGGGUCUGGAGAAUUCAAUACGAAGUAGAAAUGCUAAAUCAGUAGGAAUGCUAGUGGAGUGUACAUGCUAAAAUUAAAAAGAGUUGUCAUGCUGAAAUACUUGCAAGCAUUACCAAGCAGUGGCAGUGUGGCAUCCAAGUUUUUUCGAAGUUUCAGUUUUACCGGCAAGCUUAAACUAUCUGCACAAUACUUGAAUUGUGCUUGACUUCUGUUUGACUCUCCUAUAGAUUGUCCACUCUGAUUUCCUUUUUACCUCAUGAUGCCACAUGCCAUCUGCUCGUUUUACCUUUCUACUGGAAAAGAUGAUGUAGACCAACUAAAGAUGAUUAACACCUGCAGUUCCAUUGGGAUGUAUGUAAGGAGCGACUAGUUCCCUGUAACAGCUCUACCGCAGUUAUUGACAUAUGUGUUGUAUAUGUCUAUUGCUUCAGAAUUGCUUACAGUACUGCAAAGGGUGAUCGAGGAAAGUGCCCCUGUACUUGUCAUGACCAGGGUUGAGGCAUAAGAAAGAAGAAACAAUAUUCGUUUGAGGGAGGAGCAAGAUGCUGCUUAUCGUGCUGCACUAGAAGCUGAUCAACUAGAGAGCGCCAGAGGAUAGAAGAGCAAGAGCACCUGAAGAGGGAAGCUGCUGAAGCUGAAAAGAAAAGAAAGGAGGAAGAAGAGGCCCGAGAAAGAGCAGCACAUGAAGCUGCUGAAAGAGAAGCUGCAUUAGUUAAAAUGCGCCAGGAGAAACUGUUGUCAUUGGGCCCUGAACCUGAGAAGGGUCCUGAUGUUACCCAGGUUUUGGUACGGUUUCCUUCUGGAGAGCGCAAGGAGAGGAGAUUUCAUUGUACUGCAACAUCACAAUCGCUGCAUGACUAUGUCGAUUCUCUGGGAUGCCUAGCAGUUGUCAAAUUUCAAAGAUUAUAUUGAAAGACUAAGAACUUUGAAAUCAAGCUGUCAAAAUCAUGGUGAAAGUUGUGGUGCUGAUUCUGGCCGCUUAAGUUCAAGAUCUACAGCUAAGAUGGAUGAAAGGAAUAUCAGUGGCUGAAGAUAGGAUCAAAGAACUUCAAAAUAAAGUUUGUCUUGGAUUCUUUGAAAGAGAUUACAGGUUUCUUCAUUUGGAAUUGGAGGCAUUGCUUCAAAUUGUACAGGGGGUCAAACUAGGAGCAAGAGAUGACAUGUCAUUGCUAAAUAGAGUAAUAUCAGUGGAUGUAAAAGAGACUACAUCAACAACUUAACCCAAUGUCGAACGGCCUUUGCCAGCUCUUGGGUUGGAAUUGGAUGUACACCAAAAAAUUUGCUUCAUCAUAUAGGCAUACCCCCGCUGAUGUCUCAAGGAACUGAUUCCACUGUUGCUAUUGAUGUAUUGAAAGCCAAAAUUUUUGAUCUGGUAAGAGAAGUGGAUGAGGCAAAGCUUGAAAGAGAAAAUCUGUUGAGAAAAAUGGACCAGAUGGAGUGGAUCAGAUGGAGUGUUACUAUGAAGCUCUUGUUCAGGAACUCGAGGAAAAUCAGAAGCAAAUGCUGGCAGGGUUGCAGAGUCUAAGGAAUGAACAUUCAAAUUGCGUUUAUACCAUUUUGAAUAGCAAAACUGAAAUGGAAUUAAUGCGACAAGAUAUAAAGUCAGCGCGUGUUACAGCGUGCUGAUGAGAGACGUGAUUUGGAUACUCUUAAUAAGGAGCUCGAGAGAAGAGCUGCUACUUCAGAAGCAGCUCUGAAAAGAGCCCAUUUGAAUUAUUCUAUUGCAGUAGAUAAGCUGCAAAAGGAUUUGGAGCUUCUUUCAUCACAGGUCGUGCCCAUGUUUGAGACUAAUGAAAACCUCAUCAAGCAAGCAAUUCCAGAACCUUCACAAUCACAGUUCCUUGGGUAUGUAGAUGUUGUUCAGAAUUUAGGAGAAUAUGAUAAUACAGAGCAGUUGCGGUUGCAGGAUCAACAUGUGAUUGCAAAGAAACUAACCCUCGGUGGAGAUGUCCUCACUGAUGACUUGAAAAGAUCACUCUGCUUGCAGGAGGAGCUUUACAGGAAGGUUGAAAAAGAACUUGGUGAUAUGUAUUCAGUUAAUUUGCACUUAGAUAUAUUCUCCAGGGUUUUACUUGGAUAUGUUGGCAUCUUAUGAGAAGGAACUAAUUAUGAGAAGGAUAAUUAGAUUGCUGGUUUGUUGCAUAAAAUUUUAAUUUGGAUUAUUAUAUUAAUGAAAGAUUUUGUUGGGAUGUGUGUA